rnacentral:rRNA from 1 species
CCUACGGGUGGCUGCAGUGGGGAAUAUUGGACAAUGGGGGCAACCCUGAUCCAGCCAUGCCGCGUGUGUGAAGAAGGCCCUCGGGUUGUAAAGCACUUUCAGUGAGGAAGAACGCCUGGUGGUUAAUACCCAUCAGGAAAGACAUCACUCACAGAAGAAGCACCGGCUAACUCCGUGCCAGCAGCCGCGGUAAUACGGAGGGUGCGAGCGUUAAUCGGAAUUACUGGGCGUAAAGCGCGUGUAGGUGGCUUGAUAAGCCGGUUGUGAAAGCCCCGGGCUCAACCUGGGAACGGCAUCCGGAACUGUCAAGCUAGAGUGCAGGAGAGGAAGGUAGAAUUCCCGGUGUAGCGGUGAAAUGCGUAGAGAUCGGGAGGAAUACCAGUGGCGAAGGCGGCCUUCUGGACUGACACUGACACUGAGGUGCGAAAGCGUGGGUAGCAAACAGGAUUAGAUACCCCAGUAGUC